UACGUAGGUGGCAAGCGUUGUCCGGAUUUAUUGGGUUUAAAGGGUGCGUAGGCGGCUUUGUAAGUCAGUGGUGAAAUAUGGCAGCUUAACUGUCAAGGUGCCAUUGAUACUGCGGAGCUUGAGUACAGAUGAGGUAGGCGGAAUUGACGGUAUAGCGGUGAAAUGCUUAGAUAUCGUCAAGAACACCUAUAGCGAAGGCAGCUUACUAGGCUGUAACUGACGCUGAGGCACGAAAGUGUGGGGAUCAAACAGG
rnacentral:rRNA from 1 species